CCCGUGCCUGUGCUGAAGGUCAGGUGUAGGUGCUUUCUGACACCUCCAGGAGGAGCCCAGCUGGGGGCUGUUAUAGAUAGCUUGUACUGGGGAUGUGGAGGGCUGUGAUAGCAUUACCUGGAAGGAAGCGAGCACUCUUGGCAGAUAAGGCUGGAAAAGAAUAGCCUCGGACGUAGGAUGUUGCCCAGGAGCACCCAGGACAACCAUCUCUUUGCUCAAGAAACAACAUUACAUCAUUCCAACCGGAAUCUCACCUUGCUUGCUGUUGUUCUGUGUGGCUUACCUGGUGGUGGGGAGAGAAGAGGAGAUGGAGAAAACAAUGCUGCGUGUUAGGAAAUAUGAGACAAAGUGAGUUAGCCGCAAGGAAAGGGGAUUGUGCACGUUAUGGGAUUUGAAGGAUGUUUAUACUAGUGUAUUUGCAUGCAGAGUGUGGAAGAAGAGAGUAAAAGACUAAAGACACCAGCAAGAAGGUUCGAGAAGAGGCAAUUAAACUAAACCAUCC
ensembl:lncRNA